UUUCCAGGGAUGGGAAUCGAACCCACAGUGUUCCGCUGACCGGGCAGAUGCCAUGUCCACUAGGCUACCCGUCUAUAA
rnacentral:tRNA from 1 species